rnacentral:rRNA from 1 species
GACGAACGCUGGCUUCGUGCUUAACACAUGCAAGUCGAACUGUAAGGCCCUUCGGGGUACCCGAGUGGCGAACUGGUGAGUAACGUGUUGGUAAUCUGCCCUGCACAUCGUUAUAAGUCUGGGAAACUGGGUCUAAUACCGAAUAGGACCACAGGUGACAUGUCCUGUGGUGGAAAGUUUUUGCGGUGUGGGAUGGGCCCGCGGCCUAUCAGCUUGUUGGUGGGGUGAUGGCCUACCAAGGCGACGACGGUUAGCCGGCCUGAGAGGGUGUCCGGCCAUACUGGGACUGAGAUACGGACCAGACUGCUACGGGAGGCAGCAGUGGGGAAUAUUGCACAAUGGGCGAAAGCCUGAUGCAGCGACGCCGCGUGGGGGAUGACGGCCUUCGGGUUGGAAACCUCGUUCACCAGCGACGAAGGUCCGGGUUUUCUCGGGCUGACGGUAGGUGGAGAAGAAGCACCGGCAAACUACGUG